AUCAGUUCGUUUGGCAGUAACUGUGAUACCAUAUGUCACUGUACCAAACCCGGAUGUGACAGAUUCACCGGAUUAUGUAACGUUACGGGAUGUGAUGUUGGCUGGAUAGGUUCGGCGUGUGACCAAGAAGAAGCUGUUCAAAAAGCAGAUGAUAACCAAAAUGGUCCUCCUCUGGCUGGAAUCAUAGGUGGAGCGUGUGCCGCGGUCGUGGCUGUUAUCGUCAUAAUCAUCAUCACCGUCAUAAUGAUC